rnacentral:rRNA from 1 species
ACGGGAGGCAGCAGUGAGGAGUAUUGGUCAAUGGGCGAGAGCCUGAACCAGCCGAGUCGCGUGCGGGAGGAAGGCCCUACGGGUCGUAAACCGCUUUUGUACGGGAAUAAAAAAUCCCACGUGUGGGGUCUUGUAGGUACCGUAAGAAUAAGGAUCGGCUAACUCCGUGCCAGCAGCCGCGGUAAUACGGAGGAUCCGAGCGUUAUCCGGAUUUAUUGGGUUUAAAGGGUGCGCAGGCGGCACGUUAAGUCAGCGGUGAAAUGUCGGGGCUCAACCCGGGCACUGCCGUUGAAACUGGCGAGCUUGAGUACGGAUGAAGUCGGCGGAAUGUGAUGUGUAGCGGUGAAAUGCUUAGAUAUGUCACAGAACACCGAUUGCGAAGGCAGCUGACUAAUCCGCAACUGACGCUCAGGCACGAAAGCGUGGGGAUCGAACAGGAUUAGAUACCCUGGUA